rnacentral:rRNA from 1 species
UCAGGUGGCCGCAGAGAAUAGGCCCAAGCGACUGUUUACCAAAAACAUAGGUUUCUGCUAAGUCGCAAGACGAUGUAUAGGAGCUGACGCCUGCCCGGUGCUGGAAGGUUAAGGGGAUCUGUUAGAGCAAUCGAAGCAGUGAACUUAAGCCCCAGUAAACGGCGGCCGUAACUAUACCGGUCCUAAGGUAGCGAAAUUCCUUGUCGGGUAAGUUCCGACCCGCACGAAAGGCGUAACGAUUUGGGCACUGUCUCAACAACAGACUCGGUGAAAUUGUAAUUCCGGUGAAGAUGCCGGAUACCUGCGACAGGACGGAAAGACCCCAUGG